CUCCACGAUGGUGCUCCCUCCAGCUUGACUGGCCUCUCGUGGCUAUGGGCAGCCAUUGAAUGGCGCCUGCCAUCAGCAGCCACAUUCUUCAAAAGGGAUGGGAGGUGGAGAGCAGGCAGGAGGCAUAGGAAUCAGGAAAAGUAGUCAUUAAAUGAAAGCUUCACCUCAACCCUGCAAAGCUUGAGAUUAUAUUCCCAUGUGGAUCAGGUAUCGGUUGAGACCAUUCUCUGGGAGUCUCACCCUCCUUACCCAAAGUGGCCCAUCACUUUGUAGUUUCUUGAACAAAUAUGAGAGAUGCUGUUGCCAGCCAAAAUGCUACAACCAUUUUACAGGAAACUAGACGACGUGAAGGCUGACACAUCAAGUGAGAGAAGCAAACACUGAGAGGGAAAGUCCCUAAGUCCUUAAUAACCUCACUGACUGUGCUGGUCCUGGAAACAACUGUUUUCUGGACUCUCAGAGCAAGAAAGGAAUUAUCAAGCCAUUUCCAACUGGGGUUUUUUGUUACCAGCAGUCCAAUACAUUCUAACUGAUAAACUACCUCAAAGAACUAUUGCAAAGAUUAAGGGGGAAAGGUCUGUAUAUAGGGCUGUCCAGUGGACACCUCCGUGAUAAUAAAAAUGUUCCGUGUCUACACUGUACAAUUGAGCAGCCACAAGCCACA
rnacentral:lncRNA from 1 species